AACGAGCGCAACCCUUGCCUUUAGUUGCCAGCAGUCGGCUGGGCACUCUAAAGGGACGUGCCGGUGUUAAACCGGAGGAAGGUGGGGGAUGACGUCAAGUCCUCAUGGCCUUUAUGACCAGGGCUACACACGUACUACAAUGGCCGAUACAAAGGGCAGCGACACUGCGAGGUGAAGCCAAUCCCGUAAAAUCGGUCUCAGUCCGGAUUGGAGUCUGCAACUCGACUCCAUGAAGUUGGAAUCGCUAGUAAUCGUGGAUCAGCAUGCCACGGUGAAUACGUUCCCGGGCCUU
rnacentral:rRNA from 1 species